rnacentral:lncRNA from 1 species
UGCUCGCCUUGGCCUCCCAAAGUGCUGGGAUUAUAUAUGUGAGCCACCGUGCCUGGCUGAAAUUUUUAUUAAGUAAAACGUAAGUUCACUUGCUCAUUGCCACAGUCAAAGAACUACCAUGUUAAAAAAAAUAAUAAUAAUAAUUUAUGACCAUGAUGACUAUGGUUUAAUAAAAUUGAACUCAACAUUUAUUAACUAUAGGCCAAUACAGGGUUAUAAUAUCAAAUAAAUUCAUAAUUAUUGACCAGGGUCAAUAUACUAACAGAAAUGAUGUGUUUUUCCUUCUUUUUCUUUGGUACAGUUUGGUUGUUCAGAAAGUUUACUAGUAGUUUCUAUUAACCUUUUACUGUACUAGAUGUGGCCACAUAGGUGCAACCUCUUGUUUGAAGUUUAGUGGUAAAGGCCAGAGUUUGACUAAUUUUUGUUUAGGAAGGACAUACAUAUAGUCCUUGAAACUUUUGUCUAGUUCUAGAAUCUUGAGGAGAUGCUGUCAUUGCUUUUAUAAACAGGAAAAAGAUGGAUAUCUUUUGGCAAUUUCUUUGGGUCCAGCAAUACUGAUAUGAGUCCUUGGAAUUGUAGGACUGAUUAUCCCAUGAGUCUGCACAUUAGAUUUCCAAAGCUCAUGGAAAAAAAAAUGUUCUUGAGCACUGGGCCCCUGUGAAAAUAUACAAGUUGAGUAUCCCUAAUCUGAAAAUCUGAAAUCCAACAUGUUCCAAAAUCCAAAACCUUUUCGGUGCCAACAUGAUGCACAAAGAAAAUGCUUAGUGGAGUUUUGUGGAAUUUGUACUCUUGUAUUAGGGAUGGUGAACUGGUAAGUAUGAUGCAAAUAUUCUGAAAUCUGAACAAAUCCAAAAUCCUGAACACUUCUGGUCCCAAGUAUUUUAGAUAAGAGAUACUCUAUGUGAGAACAAGACAGCAGGUGGUUAAAGGAAUUUCCACACUUAGGUUGCUUUCAAGAGAGACAAAAGUAUUAACAGGAUCUUAAUCUGCCUCAGAUUUACUGGGGAGCAAAUGCAUUCAUAUUUGAGGAUUUCUAAAAUGUUUAAUUUGCCUCUUAAAAAUGUUUUUAGUUAGCACCAAAAAAGACAGACCAGGAAAGAGUAUGUGAUUAAUACAUUCAGUAAAUACAAGAUGACUUUUCCUUGUCCUGACAUUUAUUUUUAAAUGGUAUUGGAUAAAUAACAUAAGUAGUUAUUGUAAAUAAAAUCUGAAAGAAGCAGAGGAA